rnacentral:rRNA from 1 species
GUGGGGAAUCUUGCACAAUGGGCGAAAGCCUGAUGCAGCCAUGCCGCGUGAAUGAUGAAGGCCUUAGGGUUGUAAAAUUCUUUCGUCAGGGAUGAUAAUGACCGUACCUGAAGAAGAAGCCCCGGCUAACUUCGUGCCAGCAGCCGCGGUAAUACGAAGGGGGCUAGCGUUGUUCGGAAUUACUGGGCGUAAAGCGCACGUAGGCGGACUUUUAAGUCAGGUGUGAAAUCCCGGGGCUCAACCUCGGAACUGCAUUUGAAACUGGAAGUCUUGAGAUCAGGAGAGGUUAGCGGAAUACCGAGUGUAGAGGUGAAAUUCGUAGAUAUUCGGAGGAACACCAGUGGCGAAGGCGGCUCACUGGCUCGAUACUGACGCUGAGGUGCGAAAGCGUGGGGAGCAAACAGGAUUAGAAACCCCGGUAGUCC